rnacentral:rRNA from 1 species
UACGGAGGGUGCAAGCGUUGUCCGGAAUCACUGGGCGUAAAGAGCGUGUAGGCGGUCUGCCAAGUCUGUUGUGAAAUCGCUCGGCUCAACUGGGCGGGGUCAGCGGAUACGGUCUCACUUGAGCAAGCUAGGGGGCAAUGGAAUUCCCGGUGUAGUGGUGGAAUGCGUAGAUAUCGGGAGGAACACCAGUGGCGAAGGCGGUUGCCUGGGGCUUUGCUGACGCUGAUGCGCGAAAGCGGGUGG